rnacentral:misc_RNA from 1 species
CUAAUGCAUUUCGUCCUUCAUACAAAUUUUACACUUGAAAAAGUGCCUUCUUUUCAUUCAUAGGUUUAGAAGGUGAAGACUGUCCUUUUGCCCUCCAAUCAGUGACACAACUGUGGCUACAAUAUGCUUUGGACUGAGUCCUGCCUCUUCUAUCUGGUCUGCUUGAGAUCCAUGGUCGAUGUAUCUAUCAGGAAGUACCAUAGGCCUCAACUUAAGAUUUCCAUCUAGUAAUCCGUUUAAGCACAAGAAAUGAGCAACAUGAGAACCAAAUCCUCCUAUGGAUCCUUCUUCAGCUGUGAUGAGUAUCUCAUGCUCUUGAGCUAGCUGCCUAAUCAAUUCUCCAUCAAGAGGUUUGCAGAAUCUUGCGUCAGCCACUGUUGCUGAGAUGCCAUAUUUUGGAAGAAGAUCAGCUGCUGCUAAGCAAUUUUGUACUAUUGUUCCAUACCCCAGAAUAGCAACUCUGCUUCCCUGCCUUAGAAUUCUUCCUUUACCAAUCUCUAAAGGUGUCCCCUUGUUGUUUGGUGGAAGAGGGUUACCGAUGCCAUUUCCUCUAGGGUACCUAAAGCAACUAGGGCGGUCAUCAAUGGCUGCGGCAGUAGCCACCAUGUGCAUCAGUUCAGUCUCAUCAGAAGGGGCCAUAACCACCAUAUUAGGUAAACAAGCCAUGUAAGUAACAUCAAAGGCUCCACAAUGGGUUGGACCAUCUGCACCAACAAGGCCAGCCCUGUCUAUUGCAAAUCUCACUGGUAGCUUUUGAAGGUCAACAUCAUGUACCACCUGAUCAUAACCUCUUUGGAGGAAAGAAGAGUAAAUAGCACAGAAAGGUUUUAGGCCUUCGGUAGCUAGACCAGCAGCGAAGGUAACAGCAUGUUGUUCUGCUAUCCCAACAUCAAAACAUCUAUCUGGGAAUUGUUUUUGAAACAAAUUAAGCCCUGUGCCUCCUCCCAUUGCAGCGUGGAUGGCUACGAUUUUAUCAUCUCUCUCUGCUUCAGCAAUCAAAGACUCUGCAAAGUAUUGAGUGUAGGAACGAGUACUUGAUUUGGACUUCAAUUGUUUCCCAGAUGUUGGAUCAAAUUUCACAACACCAUGCAUUUUAUCAGCAGCUAUUUCAGCUGGGAUAUAGCCCUUUCCUUUCUCGGUGAUUACAUGGAUAAGAACAGGUCCUGGUGUUGGCAAUGACUUGACCUUCUUUAAUAUAGUUACAAGGUCCUCCACGCUGUGGCCAUCUACUGGACCAAUAUAGUAGAGUCCUAGCUCUUCAAAUAAGCUAGCGCCAGAACCAGCAGCCAUUCCUCUUACAAUGGAAUCAACUUUAGCUGCAAUCUCAUGUGUUUGCCCUCCAAUUUGCUUUGUGAUUCCCUUAGCAGCUUCACGCAACUGGCGAACCUUCCUACUUGAUUGUAGCUUAGUUAAGGCUUUGCUUAGAGCACCAACAGGAGGUGCGGGGCCAUCCACAGUAGCAGUAGGCAAAGAAACUUGUUUAUUGUCAUUCAAGAUUAUAAUGAGAUUUGAAUCAAGAUAUCCUGCAUUGUUCAUUGCCUCAUAUGCCUGUCCUGCUGUCAUGGCGCCAUCACCUAUAACUGCAAUCACAUGAUUGUCCUUCCCCACCAAGUCUCUACCAACAGCCAUACCUAUCCCAGCUGAAAUGCUAGUAGAACUGUGUCCAGCUCCAAAGGCAUCAUGUUCACUUUCAUCCCUCUUGGGGAACCCAGCAAGCCCAAAAGUUUGUCGAAUUGUAGGCAUUCUUGAUCUCCUGCCUGUUAAAAUCUUAUGUGGGUAGGCCUGAUGGCCAACAUCCCAGAUGAUUUUAUCUUCAGGAGUGUUAAAUACAUGGUGAAGUGCCACUGUUAUCUCUGCAACUCCUAAACUUGAACUCAAGUGCCCUCCGGUCUUUGAAACUGUAUAAACUAUCUCUUCUCGAAGUUCAUCAGCCAAUACCUCAAGCUCCUGAACGGAAAGAUUUUUCAUGUGAAUUGGAUAGUUUAUAGUAUCAAGA